AGAAUCAACGCUGGCGGCGUGCCUAACACAUGCAAGUCGAACGAGAAAGUGGAGCAAUCCAUGAGUAAAGUGGCGACCGGAUGAGUAACACGUGACUAACCUACCUUCGAGUGGGGAUAACCUCGGGAAACCGGGCUAAUACCGCAUAAAAUCUUUGGAUCGGAAGAACUGGAGAUCAAUGGAGCAAUUCGCUUGAAGAGGGGGUCGCGGCUGAUUAGCUAGUUGGCGGGUAAUGGCCCACCAAGGCUUUGAUCGGUA
rnacentral:rRNA from 1 species